CUGAGCCACCCAGGCACCCAAGAGGCUUUUAAAAUUUUUCAGUGUCUGCACAAUUGGGCUCGAGGAUUACUGUUUCUCAGACGUUUUAAACGCCUUCCAAAUGUGAGAGCAGCAAGCUGUGUUCUUGCACAUUGCAUAUCCUGAAAUUCUUCAGCUUAACUAGGCCCACUGUCACUGCAUAAGUCUCUAGAUGGAUUAUGUUCGGUGAAAGCUGCGCGUAUUUUCCUGGCCACCCCCUCUGCAAUAAUCCAGUGCAAAGGUUCCAGCUCAUAUUUUCAGUGCAUGGGAAGAGGAGGGGCAGAAACGGUGAAACCAAAAUAAACAGAUGGGUGCCUUGACAAUCUGUAAGGCGCUCUUU